GGCGAGAUAGCUCAGUAGGUAGAGCAGCGGACUGAAAAUCCGCGUGGCCCCAGUUCGAUUCUGGGUCUCGCCA
rnacentral:tRNA from 1 species